rnacentral:sRNA from 1 species
GCUGGGCACGGUGGCUCAUGCCUGUAAUCCCAGCACGUUGGGAGGCUGAGGCAGGCGGAUCACUUGAGCUUAGGAGUUUGAGACCAGCCUGAGCAACAUGGCGAAACCCUGUCUUUACCAAAAACACAAAACAAUUAGCCAGGUGCAGUGGCACGUGCCUGUGGUCCCAGAUACUUGGAGGCUGAGCCUGGGAAGCGAAGGUUGCAGUGAGCUGACAUCGUGCCACUGUGAUCCAGCCUGAGCAACAGAGUGAGAUCCUGUCUCA